AACCUGGUUGAUCCUGCCAGUAGUCGUACGCUCGACUCAAAGAUUAAGCCAUGCAUGUGUAAGUUCAACUAUAUGAUCUGAAAACUGCGAACGGCUCAUUAUAUCAGUUUACGUCUAUUUGACAGUCCCUUUACCAUUCGGAUAUCCGUAGUAAUUCUAGAGCUAAUACGUGCGUCAACACUCGUAAGAGUGGCGUUUAUUAGAUAGAAACCAUCCCGUUUCGGCGGUAUUUUGGUGAUUCACAAUAACCUAGCGGAUCGCAUGGCUUUGCCGGCGAUAGGUCAUUCGAGAUUCUGCCCUAUCAGAUAGACGGUAGUGUAUUGGACUACCGUGUCUUUAACGGGUAACGGAGGAUUAGGGUUUGAUUCCGGAGAGGGAGCCUGAGAGACGGCUACCACACCCAAGGAAGGCUGCAGGCGCGUAAAUUACCCAAUCACGACACGUGGAGGUAGUGACAAUAAAUAACAAUGCCGGGCAUUUCUAUGUCUAGC
rnacentral:rRNA from 1 species